UUCUUCGGAGAGUUUGAUCCUGGCUCAGGAUGAACGCUGGCGGCGUGCCUAAUACAUGCAAGUCGAGCGAACUGAUUAGAAGCUUGCUUCUAUGACGUUAGCGGCGGACGGGUGAGUAACACGUGGGCAACCUGCCUGUAAGACUGGGAUAACUUCGGGAAACCGAAGCUAAUACCGGAUAGGAUCUUCUCCUUCAUGGGAGAUGAUUGAAAGAUGGUUUCGGCUAUCACUUACAGAUGGGCCCGCGGUGCA
rnacentral:rRNA from 1 species